UACGGAGGGGGCGAGCGUUUGUCCGAAGUUACUGGGCGUAAAGCGCACGUAGGCGGCUUUGUAAGUUAGAGGUGAAAGCCCGGGGCUCAACCCCGGAACUGCCUUUAAAAACUGCAUCGCUUGAAUCCAGGAGAGGUGAGUGGAAUUCCGAGUGUAGAGGUGAAAAUUCGUAGAUAUUCGGAAGAACACCAGUGGCGAAGGCGGCUCACUGGACUGGUAUUGACGCUGAGUGCGAAAGCGUGGGGAGCAAACAGGG
rnacentral:rRNA from 1 species